rnacentral:rRNA from 1 species
CCUACGGGGUGCAGCAGUGGGGGAUAUUGCACAAUGGGGGGAACCCUGAUGCAGCGACGCCGCGUGGGUGAAGAAGCGCCUCGGCGCGUAAAGCCCUGUCAGCAAGGAAGAAAAUGACGGUACCUGAAGAAGAAGCCCCGGCUAACUACGUGCCAGCAGCCGCGGUAAUACGUAGGGGGCAAGCGUUAUCCGGAUUUACUGGGUGUAAAGGGGGCGCAGACGGCGAUGCAAGCCAGGAGUGAAAGCCCGGGGCCCAACCCCGGGACUGCUCUUGGAACUGCGUGGCUAGAGUGCAGGAGGGGCAGGCGGAAUUCCUGGUGUAGCAGUGAAAUGCGUAGAUAUCAGGAGGAACACCGGUGGCGAAGGCGGCCUGCUGGACUGCAACUGACGUUGAGGCCCGAAAGCGUGGGGAGCAAACAGGAUUAGAUACCCGAGUAGUC